rnacentral:rRNA from 1 species
UACGUAAGGAGCAAGCGUUGUCCGGAAUCAUUGGGCGUAAAGCGCGCGUAGGUGGCCUCAUAAGUCCGCUGUGAAAGUCAAAGGCUCAACCUUUGAAAGCCGGUGGAUACUGUGAGGCUAGAGUACGGAAGAGGCGAGUGGAAUUCCUGGUGUAGCGGUGGAAUGCGCAGAUAUCAGGAGGAACACCAAUAGCGAAGGCAGCUCGCUGGGACGUUACUGACACUGAGGCGCGAAAGCGUGGGGAGCGAACAGG